GCCAGCGCCCGGUGACUGCGGACGGAUGAAUAGACGCUGCGGGUCACUGCGCUCUCCCCUGGGUAGAACAGAUGGUUUGAAAAGGAAAGAUUUUUUUUUCACAUAUGGGGAAAAAAAAUUCCCAGCCUUGGAAGGAUAUUUGGGUUAGAGGCCGAAGUGCAUCACAGAUCACGCACGCGUCCACACCUCAGAAAACACUCACUCAUUCCUGAGACGCAACGUCUCCGGCACACAGCUCCGCAGCUGGGGGUGACUAAGAGCCCACACCACGCAAGUAAUAAAACGCUCCAAUUUCAUUUAUUUAAUCAUCUGUGUGCUUCAUUUGACAAAUAUUUAUGGAGUGUCUGCUGCUAGCUCAGUGCCUGGUGCCUGGGACUGAAGACCAGAGCCCCCUGGAGACCAAAAGAGCCAGCUCCCAGCUGUGAGCAGAUCGGGUCCAAAGAUCACGGGCUCGGCGGCAGGAACCUGGUUUGGUAUCCGGCUCCUCUGCGGACUUUGAAGUGCUUUACCGAUUCACAUGACAACUGGUAAAACGAAAACAAACACCUUUCCAGGAAUUGUGAAUUCGAGUUCCAGACCCUCUGGGAUUCCGGGAGCGCAGCUGCUAUUUAUGUUAACAGUCAUUGGUCCCAGGCUGGUGAGGUUAGAAUUUCCAAGUAUAAAAGUAAUUUAGUUUCGUUUUAAAUACAUUUUAGGGCCAAAGAAAAGUGGAACGAUUUAAAGAAAAAGAUGAAAUGAAUAAUAGGGCAAGUUGGGAGGUGGCUGUCCUGAGGUUUCAUGGGACAACAUUAAUUAACCUCAUGAAGUGCCUGCAUGGACAACGUGCCCGGUGUGGUUACAAACAAACCAAUCAGCACAGAUCCUGGGUGGAAAGCAGGGCGCAGCCACGGAGGCACAGUAGGGGUGCAGACUUGAAGGUUUUUAGGAGGUAAGCCCCGAGGGCACGAAGCUCCACGGAGAGACUGUUGACCCGCCUGGGAGUGCAGUGCAGGUGGAUGAGAGUGGGACACCUGCCAGUUGUUUGCAUCAGCAGACACUCAGAGUCCAUGGAAAAAAUGAGCCUAGAGGUUUUUAAACCACAACACAAGCAAAAGGCACCUGGUCCCGUUCCUCUUAAGACAGAAGAAAGAGGCGUAAAACCAGCUCCAGGUGCCACCCUUAAGAAAUGUUACAGUGCCGGAUGGGAAGAGUAAACCCUGAACAUCUCUUCUUAAUACUUUACAGACUUCAAGUGUAUUUUAUGGUGACAAAGCAUAUUGAAGACAAAUGAAACUCUACAACCCUGAAAACCAGCCUGAAUUAUUUUGAGAGACAGACAGUGGCUGCAAGGAGAAGCGUCGGGAUUUUCUGGGCUGGCCAUCUCCAGUGUCACUGACCCCGGUCUACCCCUGCAUGUUUGUUUACGGGAAAGGAGUUGAGGAGGAGGAUGUAUGGCUGAGAGCCUGAAAAUAAUCCAGGGCAGGUGGAGCGAGGAGAGGACUUUACUCCUCACACUCAUGUAGGCAUCCUGAAAAGCCACUUUUCUUUCCAAGGUGGGCACGGGCCUUGAGCUUGGAGUGGAGCCAGUUAAAGUUGUCCGCUCUGGGUCGUCAGAUGGAGAUCUUAUCUUGGGUCAUGAAUUGUGGUUUUAGGAGAAAGGCAGAAGCUAAACCCAUCUUCUGUCUGGUGGGGAGGCCCAGCAAAGGGCUCAGAAACACAGCCACAGGCCUCUUGCAGCAGCUGGAUGCACAUUUCAGGAGGUUGCCUGAAAGCAGAAUUGACUUCAGAGAGUAGGGCAGCAGAGCCCAGCCACAGAGUGGUCCCAGGAGCCAGGAAGUGCCACACAGCCCCUCGCUUAUUUUUACUCAGUAUGCCACAGAAGUCCUGACCUGUUAAAAGUGCCCUUUAAGAAUGGCUGGCCCACCCUCUCUCAGAGGGUUCAUGCUGGGGAGAGGGUUCCUGCAUGCCCGCUAAGCUCCAAAUGACAACCCAGGUGUAGAAAGGGCUUAGACUUUAGGGUUCAAACCCAUCCUAGAGUCCGGUCCAAGGCCAGUUACAGCCAAUGGGCAGUGGUAGGUGCAGCCCAGCCCAUUAGCUCAUUCUUGAGCCUCAGAGGGACAGAGCAGCACUAAUGGGUGCACAAAUGGCUAGAAUGUUCACCAACUCCUCGAGAGUGGCAUUGGACAUUUGGGCAAGGGUCUUAUGGAGGCUGAGAGUUGACUGUGGGCUCAUCACAGCUAUUUUGAGGGUCUUGACAGCCCAACUAGCAAACAAUUCUGCAGGGAUGAGAGGUCAGGGCAAAGGGAAAUGGCAUUGUCAAGUGGACAGCCAAAAAGUCCAGGAUGCCCCCAGGUCCUGGGGAACGGCGGGGGAGGAACUCAGGGACUGGAUUACCCACAGGACCUGGUGAGACCCACAGCCACGGGCUGACUUGUGUCCACUCAGAAGCGUAUGUUAAAAUCCUAACCCCCAGUACUUUGGAAUGUGACCUUAUUUGGAAAUAGAGACUUUGAAGAUGAUCAAGUUAAGAUGAAGUCAUGGGGCCGAGAGCGGUGGCUCACGCCCGUAAUCGCAGCACUUCGGGAGGCUGAGGCGGGCAGAUCACGAGGUCAGGAGAUCGAGAUCAUACUGGCUAACACGGUGAAACCCCUUCUCUACUAAAAAUACAAAAAAAAAAAAAUUAGCCGGGCAUGGUGGCGGGCACCUGUAGUCCCAGCUACUCAGGAGGCUGAGGCAGGAGAAUGGCAUGAACCCUGGAGGUGGAGCUUGCAGUGAGCCGAGAUCGUGCCACUGCACUCCAGCCUGGGAGACAGAGCGAGACUCCAUCUCAAAUAAAUAAAUAAAUAAAUAAAGAUGAAGUCAUUAGGGUAGACCCUAAAGCAACAGAGCUAGUGUCCUUGUAAAGAGGGGAAGUCUGGACACAGACACACACCUGCACUAAGGGAAGUGGGUGGGAAACACUGGGAAGAUGCCACAUGACUGCAGUGACGCAGCUGCACGCCAAGUGAUGCCUGGGGCACUGGAAGCCGGGGAGGGUUCCUGCCUGGCCCCUAAGCUCCAAAUGACAACCCAGGCAUAGGAAGGGCCUACACUUUGGGGUUCAAACCUAUCCUGGAGUCUGGUCCGGGGCCAGUUACAGCUAAUGGGCAGUGCUGGGUGCAGCCCAGCCCGUAAGCUCAUUCUUGAGCCCCAGAGGGACAGAGCAGCUCUAAUGGGUGCAAAAAUGGCUGGAAUAUUUCACCAACUCCUUGGGUGGGUGGGUGGGGGGGGGGCAUUGGACAUUUUGGGCAAGGGUCUUCUUGAGGCUGAGAGAGGCCAGGAAGGAGCUUCCCCUGGAGUUGUCUGGGAGUGGGACCCUGCUGACACCGACCUCAACUUUUGACUUCUGGCCUCUAGAGCUGUGAGAGACUAAACACCUGUGGUUUUAAGCCACCUGGUUUGUGUCACUUUGCUGUGGCAGCCACUAGAAACUAAUACACCCAACUAGAUACGUAUCUUUGUCACAGUUACAGGAAUCUUUAUUUUAUCCAAAAGCAAAAGACACUGAACUUUUGUGUACAUUCCAGGCCUGCUGAUUGUAGCUGGUCUAUAAGCUCGUGUCGGAGUCUAUGGUGGUUGAUUUUUGUGUCCCUUUGACUGAGCCACGAGGUAUUUGAUCAAACAUUAUUCCAGGUGUUUCUGUGAGGCUGCUUUUGGAUGAGAUUAACAUGUAAAUCAAUAGAGUCAAGCAAAUCGUUCUCCCCAAUGCAGAUGGGUUUCGUCCAUGCAGCUAGAGGCCUGAAAAGAAGGAAAAGCUGAUCAUCCUCGUGUAAGAGAGAAUCUCUCCUACCCAACGGCCUUCCAGCUGGGAUACUGGCUUUUUCUUGCCUUUAGACUUGAACUGAACAAUUGGCUCUUCCUGGCCUCAGGCUUUGGGACUCAGAAGCACACAUUGACUGUCCUGGGGCUCCAGCUUAUGGACUACCCUGCAGAAAGACUGUGGGACUCGUCAGCCAUCAUCAUCCUGUGAGCCAGUUUUACACAGACACACACACACACAGUCGCACUCUCAUGCUCACACAUACACACUCACACACAAUCACACACUUGCACACACACAGACACUCUUACACACUCAUUCACACACUCACAUGUGCACACACACAGUCUCUCACACACAUCACACACACACACACACACACACACACACACACACACUAUUGGUUCUGUUUCUCUGUAUAACCCUGAUGAAUUCAGGAUCUUAAAGGUUACCUAUUUCAUUGUAAUGCUGUUUUCUAGCACCAGGCUAGUCCUUUUGUCGGCAGAACUGGUAGGCUCACUUUUUUUUUUUUCAGACUGUUUUGUGUUUUAUUUUCUUCCAUUUACAAAAAAGCAUUUCUAAGCCAGGGCAGUGAAGCCUGACGCUACCGUUCACGGUCAGUGAAAUGAGCAUUCGAGGAUGGGACUCAGCCUGUCUGGACAGGUCCCCAGACAAAAAACACAGAGAAUCAAGAACGCAGGCGCUCCCUGUCGGACGCCAGGCCGGGCCCUGUGACAAGGAUCUCAGCGCUGGCGGUGGGGCUGCCCUGCGGGUUCGAGGCCUGGCUCUUCCUGCCCCACUGCCUGGUGUGUAGCCCAGGGGCCGGGCCGCCUGCGCCCCCCGCCGGGGGGCACGCCCGGCCCAGGGUUGGGGGUGUCCGGCUUGCCCCCAGGGGGCCAGCGGGGCCUCUGUUAUCUCGCUCCAGAACCGACAUCGCCAGCCAAGACCUUCCUCGUGGAGCCCUCGGUCUGGCCAAGGACGCUCCUUGGAGUCUGCUUAGACGCACAGCGGGCUCAGCUUUGCCAAAUUCUCCAAGGAGACUUUCCAUGAGGCGCCUCCUGCCAUCUGUGGGCGGCGUUGGGAACUGCGGCCACCGCUGCUUGGGAAUCAGGACGUCCCAGCUCCCAACCGGCGGUCAUUCAUUCCCUCAACACACACUCUGGGCCGCCCGCCUGGCUCCAGGCAGGCCCUCCGGGGACUCGGGAAAUAGGAGUUGUUAAACAUUUCUGAAACAUUCCUCUUCCAUUUAUUCUGUGAUUUUCUUCAGAAACACAAGGCGUGCACGAGUCAGCUUAUCAGCUUAUCCUUCACCCACACGUAGGCUCUUCUUUCCAAUCAAUUUUAUCUUUGUUUUUUUCUAAGAAAAUUUUAGGGAUUUUACUUGUUUUUGUUUUGUUUUUGGGUUUUUUUGUGUGUUUUGUUGUUGUUAUUUUGUUUUUUUUUUUUUUUGGUGGGGGGUUGGCUUGGUUUGGUUUUUGCUUCAUUUUUUAAUUUUAGGGAUUUUUAAAAAGCCAGCAUUCCUUAAUCUUCUGAUUGUUGUGUGACUGUUGUAUAAUAUUGAGAAAUACAUUCCUGUCAUCCACAACUAACAACCAUUAAUAAUGUGUCGUAUUGUUUACUUUUUUGUUUUUAACUAAAUUUUGCUUUGGGGAAGUAUCCAUGACGAUACAAUAUAGCUGUGAGAUAUUUCCUGUACCUGCUACGUAACACCCCUUCAUGUAAAACGCAGAGCAUUUGGUUUAUCCACAUCCCCCCGCCCCCCGCCCAUGCAUAUUAGUGGUUUCCAGUGCUAAAGGGACAGCGCCCCCCACGUGCAUUUCUCCAGGUACUGAGGCAGGAGAAUAGGGGCUGGAGGCAGGGGACCAAAGGCUGUUUCACUCAGACUUCCUACAACUAAAUUGAAAGGAAAACCCUAACUUUCCACUCCUAAGUAACAAAAGGACCAGAGGCUAUUCCCUUUCUAAACCCCCCCACCUUUUCCUCGAGGCAAAUGGGAAAUUGGCUGUCCGCAACCAAUCAGACUGAUUGUGGGUGGAGUCUUCGUUUGCACCUCUGUACCUUCGCUCCAGUCUCUGAACGGUUGCUGUCCACAACGAAUCAGACUGAUUGCGGGCUCAGCCUUCGUUUGCAUAGAAGUAUAACUUUGUAACUUCACCCUAGCCUCUGACUGGUUGCUUUUGGCACCUUCAUUUACAUGAGGUGAGCAUGAUGUGGCCAAUUGGAAACUUCUAGGGGAUAUUUGGACCCAAGAAGAUCCUGUAUCCAGGCCCUUGAGCCGCUGCUCGGGUCCGCUCCCAUACUGUGGAGUGUACUUUGGUUUUCAAUAAAUUCCUGCUUUCGUUCUUUUGCUGCUUCAUUCUUUCUUUGCUUUGUUGGGCGUUUUGUCCAAUUCUUUGUUCAAAAUGCCAAGAACCUGGACAAGUUGCAGUUAUGACCCUCGACCGGUGAUAGUAGCACUCGCUCCUAACAGCUUGGCUGCAGUAAGCCUAGGCUUCCAGGGAGAGCCUCUGCACCUGCUGCUGUGCUGCUUGAGUUCUCUCAGACAAGGAAGCAUGAAAAGGGCUGCCUUUUUCAAACAGCAGGGGAAGGAAAACACAGUGAUAACAAAUCCAAAUAUUAUUUCAAUUGAGAUCUUAUCAUAU
rnacentral:lncRNA from 1 species